UACGUAGGGUGCGAGCGUUAAUCGGAAUUACUGGGCGUAAAGUGUGCGCAGGCGGCACCGCAAGUCGAGUGUGAAAGCCCCGGGCUUAACUUGGGAAUUGCGCUCGAAACUAUGGUGCUGGAGUGUGGCAGAGGAAGGUGGAAUUCCAGGUGUAGCGGUGAAAUGCAUAGAGAUCUGGAGGAACACCGAUGGCGAAGGCAGCCUUCUGGGCCAACACUGACGCUCAUGCACGAAAGCGUGGGGAGCAAACAGG
rnacentral:rRNA from 1 species